UACGAAGGGGGCUAGCGUUGUUCGGAAUCACUGGGCGUAAAGCGCACGUAGGCGGAUCUUUAAGUCAGAGGUGAAAUCCCAAGGCUCAACCUUGGAACUGCCUUUGAUACUGGGGAUCUUGAGUCCGGGAGAGGUGAGUGGAACUGCGAGUGUAGAGGUGAAAUUCGUAGAUAUUCGCAAGAACACCAGUGGCGAAGGCGGCUCACUGGCCCGGUACUGACGCUGAGGUGCGAAAGCGUGGGGAG
rnacentral:rRNA from 1 species